CAGUCGCCGUAGGUAGCACGCUCCCCCCUCCUCCCCACAAAGUCCACCGCCCUCCAUGCCGAGCAACCGAAUCGGGAUCGAUCGUCUCCUCCCCUCCCCGUCGCCGCCGCCUCGGGCUCGCUUGGUGCAGAUCGGGACCCUCCGCCCGCCCCGACGGGCCGGAUCCCGCCUUGCACCAAGUGAAUCGGAGCCGGCGCAGCGACCUCGCCCCCGCCGCCGCUUUUGCUGCCUCUCCGCGCCCCGAAUUGGUUGAUGCUCUGCCGCCGUCGGUCUCGACUGGUUCGAUCGGUCCGAGGCUGCUACUCGCUGCGGAUUUUUAUGUGCGAUUCCGUAUGUUCGCUCGUGCCCGUGGCGCUCUGAUAUUUGCCCUGUUUAAGAAAUUCGCUAGAUCUAGAUCCGGCGCCUAGCUUUAAUUGUUGCCUGCUUGAUCUGACGGAUUUUUUGUUGCCAAGCAAGAUCUAAUCCUUCUUUUUUUGGUCAGGAUUCUUGCCAGGCUAUGGUGCAAAUUGCGCCCCCAAAUUGUGUUGCAGGGGAGGCCGUGGGACGCUACGAGAUGGUUCGAAUUAGCUAGUCGUGACGCGAAUUUCGAUUUGGAUCGUGUGGCAGGUCUUGUGUAUGGUACUAGUAGAUUCAGUAUUUGGCCUGAUUGAACUGUGGAGAACAUUUAUUGAUGUAGAUAGAUGCUGGUAGUAUAUCGUUUUACUACUUGUAGUAGGGGCGUAUCUCUGGCUAGCACCUCUGUACUCUGCAGGAUGCUGGGAAUUGCGGUGGACUUGUUUCGGGAGGAGACACAGGCUGCAUGUGUCUCCAUAUGCUUUAUUUAGCACGUUUGCUGUACUCUGCUGUGAAUUGUCUUCAGGGCGGAUGCUAACUCCAGGGAAUUGAAACCUGCAACGUGUUGCCUUGUUCUGUUCCAUCUCGAGAAUUUCAGCCUUUCGAUUCAUGACCUGUGGUUUGAGCUUUGAUUUGUCAAAAGCUUAAACCUUAUUCAGCAAUUAUGAAGUGGAUAGGCACAAGCAGGGGCGGAGCUCUGUAGGGGCUAAACCGGGCCAUGGCCCGCCCAGGAUUUUGACCCAAAUUUUUUUAUAUAGGCAUCUCCCAAGCCCACUAGCCCAGCCCACGUGCAUCCUCUCGCUUUCACGCACAGAGCAGCCUUGCUAAAAAAAAACGCACAGAGCAGCCGGAGAGAGGCAGGCAGCGCUAGGAAUCCCUACUCCCUAAUUCCCAAACUGUCCCACAGUCGAGCAGUGAGCACAGGAGCAAGCCGCUGCCGUCGGCGAACCGACAGCGUCUAUCCUCUCUCGCCGGAAUCCCUGUAUCUCACAGCCACGGUUCAGCCCCUUGCUUUCCUCCCUUCCCCCGACUCUCUGCACCUGCUCACAGAUGACAUCUGCUUGGGCUCGGCCACGCCGUCGUGCUACUGGCCUGCGGCCUGCCGAACCACUUCUGGCGGCUGGCGCAUGAGCAGAUCACUGGAUGAGCUCUCCUAGUCUCCAGUCUCCUACUGUCCUCCAAGAGUAGAGCAACUGUCAGAAGCAAGAGGUAAUCAUGGGCAAGGAAAAUCAAUCUCAGAGAAGAAUUGAUUUGGUUUUUAAAAGGAAAAGAGAUGACAUAACUCGAGUUCAGGAAAACCAGAUAUUGCCGUUGCUUGAAUUGGAACAACAUAACCAAAACCAG